rnacentral:rRNA from 1 species
GCCAGACUCCUACGGGAGGCAGCAGUGAGGAAUAUUGGUCAAUGGGCGCGAGCCUGAACCAGCCAAGUCGCGUGAGGGAUGACGGCCCUACGGGUUGUAAACCUCUUUUGUCAGGGAGCAAAGGGCGCCACGUGUGGCGUUUUGCGAGUACCUGAAGAAAAAGCAUCGGCUAACUCCGUGCCAGCAGCCGCGGUAAUACGGAGGAUGCGAGCGUUAUCCGGAUUUAUUGGGUUUAAAGGGUGCGCAGGCGGAAUGUAAAGUCAGCGGUAAAAUUUCGGGGCUCAACCCCGUCGUGCCGUUGAAACUGGCGUUCUUGAGUGAGCGAGAAGUAUGCGGAAUGCGUGGUGUAGCGGUGAAAUGCAUAGAUAUCACGCAGAACUCCGAUUGCGAAGGCAGCAUACCGGCGCUCAACUGACGCUGAAGCACGAAGGCGUGGGUAUCGAACAGGAUUAGAUACCCCGGUAA